rnacentral:lncRNA from 1 species
GGACCCCAUGCACCUCCUCAUGAUCCACACAAGCCACAUGACUGUCACCACGGUCACCACCACCCAUGAACCGAACUAGUCAUGAGGCCACGAUCGAGAAGCUAGUCUCAGCAAGUUGUUAUCUAUUUAUCUUUGUGCCUGUAAUGUGAUCUAGCUGCGGUUGUAGUUCUGAGUUGCUGGGUUUACUGGCUUUGCUCCAUUGAUCUCAUCGUUAUGUAAUGACUAAAAUAUGAGGACUAUGUAUGUAUCCAAAAGAAGGCUGAUCAUAUAUGUAUAAUAAGAAGAGUACUGGCUUUGUGGUUUAUGUAUAAUCCGCUUGUGUAAAACUUCUUCUUUUAUCCGUCUAAAUGUGAUGUAUAAUCAGAAAAUAUGGCCAGUUUGUCAUCUUGACCAACCUGAACUUACAAACUAAUUAAUUAAGUCAAUCUCCCCAAUUUCAUCAAUCUUCAUUAGGAUUUCAUCACUAGCUCAUUCCUUCACAGAUAAUUAACCAUUUGCUCGAUUGCUCUUAACAAACUGUAAUAGCCAAGAGGCAAACGCAUCCAUCUAAAUUCUAAAAAGUUAUUAACACAGGCUAGGGGUAAAUUAUCCUUUGUUCAGACCAAUCUCACAGUUGAAGCGAUGAAUUGGCUAAAACAAAAGCCUACGGGCAGAAAAACAAAGCAUCUCUAUUCGUACGGAAGAAUGACUUCCAUAUAUAGUAAGCCUUAUAGUUAUAACACCGUAAGUGUAUAAGAAUAGGAAUUCAUAAACGCAAUAAGAAGAAGACCGUGAAAGAGAUCGAAGAUUAAAGCAGGCCUUAAUGUCUUGUAUAUUCUGUACAAAAUUUCAACAGCCAGAUUUUCUCGAUGCAUUCGUCAGCUUCUGUUUGUAACCUUUCUUCUGUCAAAUCCUCCAUGGCUUUUCACGAGCAAUAAUUCUUGCAAGGUCCCAUUAACAAGCCUCACGUACGUUGUUCUUAUCUCCUUUUCCUUAGCUCACCAAGAAUUCAACUAUUACCAAGUGCAGCAACUAGUUUCUGUGAUCGAUCUACGGAAAGUUAAAGUUAUUGCUCAAAAGAGAAAGAGAAAACGGAAGUUAAAGUUCCAUGCUGCCCUAGUUCAAGUACGCACUCAGUUAUGAUCUUGUGGUUCUUACAAUGGAUGAAUGGAUGAAGCAUUACCACACAAAUACUCAGAAGAGAAAAACAAAACAACCACAGUGCACGAUUAACAUGCUAGCUAGCUUUCAUUGUGUGCAAAUAUCCUGAGCUACCAUUCCACCAAAACAAGCUAAAUAAGUUUAUCCUUGUAUGGAUAUUAUGUGAAUCGAAAUAAUUGUAUAUUUGAUUCUUAGAUAUUAUGUGGCACCUAUUACAACGAAGCAUGUGCCAUAUUCUGAAGAUAAUGUCGACACAUCUGAAUCAUCUAGAGCCCGUACCGACACCUUUCUCCUAUAAAAUCAACUCCUACUAGCUUAAACUCUUCAACAGUUCGCCACAUCAAGAACAACUUUCUUUUUGUUUAUACAAGCUAGUAGUCUCACCAAGAAUUCGAAGAUGCAUCACGGUGAUCAUCACGGCGGACCACCACACCACGGAGGAGGUCCGGGAGGAGGUCCGGGAGGUCCAGGAGGCGGCCCUCAACAUGGUCAUGGUCAUCAAGGAGCUCCGGGAGGAGGGCAUGGAGGACCAGGAGGAGGAGGGCAUGGAGGGCAAGGAGGAGGAGGACACGGAGGACCAGGAGGAGGAGGACAUGGAGGAGGAGGAGGAGGAGGACGAGGGGGGAGGAGGAGGACAUGGAGGAGGAGGAGGAGGAGGACGAGGGAGGAGGAGGAGGAGGACAUGGAGGAGGAGGAGGACGACGGAGGGCAUGGUGGUCACUGAUCAUGGCGCUAGACUACGUAUACUACUUGUGGUGUACUAGCUGGCUGAAUAAGUCUCUCUAUGUGACUUCUGUAGUAUUGUUUGUGUGUUAUCAUUUCCUAGUUGGGUCGAUCAGAUCCUAGAUAGUGAAGCUAGCUAGGGGAGUCGAUCUUGUGUUUGGAGUCUGUUAAUUAAUGUAUGUGUAUGGAUGUGUAAUAAAACCAUACUAGCUAUGUAUUUGAUUCGAGGCUUAACAUAUAUUGCAUGCAGCUAUAUAUAUAUAUAUAUAUAUAAUAUCCUUAGAUGACUAAGAACAUAAGAAACAGAGCAGUACUAUUGAUGAUUUACAAGAUUCAAUUUGUAUAAGUGAUCUUUGGCUUGUCCUAAUUAACCAUCAAGCAAAGCGCUAAGAACGAACAUAUUAUAUAUACUGCCAGAUGAUCAAGCAACUUUGCAGAGGGAUCAUGACGAAAUGUCCAUCUAGCAGCUUAAAUGCUUAAUUAGAACAAUUUUGCAAAACAAACACAAACUUGUAUAAUACGGUACCGAAAAUAUAAGUAUAACCGUUUGAAAUGUCAAGUUUAUCAAUCUUAUGAAAUCGAAGUAUCGUAAAUCGAUAAUGAUCUUCUUCAAAACUAGAACGAGAAUGUAACGUGUCUAUAUGACACUAUAAAUGUCUACGAAAUCAUGCGUUAAGAACAUAAUAUUAUAUUCCUUCGUUUUUUACUAAAGAAUAUCAUUACCGUUAAGCUUUAAUUGACAUACGUACGAUUGUACUUUGUAGUGAUACAUCUAAUUAUAUUGGUCGUGUGGUGCCCUUAGUAUAUUAAAAGGAAAAAACUAAAGAGACCAAAAGGCCCAAAGGAAACCACAGAAAUUGUCAUAAAGGUACAAGUGCAGCCCAACUUUCNNNNNNNNNNNNNNNNNNNNNNNNNNNNNNNNNNNNNNNNNNNNNNNNNNNNNNNNNNNNNNNNNNNNNNNNNNNNNNNNNNNNNNNNNNNNNNNNNNNNNNNNNNNNNNNNNNNNNNNNNNNNNNNNNNNNNNNNNNNNNNNNNNNNNNNNNNNNNNNNNNNNNGUCCUGAUCAUCACCUUCCUUGCCUAUGCUUCCUUCCACGCCUCCAGGAAGCCCCCCAGCAUCGUCAAGAGUGUUCUUGGCCCCAAACUCCUGUCCAAUUCGAGCUCUUUCGACACCGGUUGGGCUCCCUUUAAUGGCCCUGAUGGCACUCACAGGCUUGGAGAACUUGAUCUUGCAUUUCUAUCUGCAUAUUCUAUUGGAAUGUAUUUUGCAGGGCAUGUUGGUGAUAGGAUUGAUUUGAGGUUGUUUCUUGCUUAUGGGAUGUUAGGGAGUGGAGUUUUGACUUGUCUUUUCGGGUUAGGUUAUUGGUGCAAUGUGCAUAUGUUGUGGUACUUUGUGGGUGUGCAAGUUGUGUGUGGGUUGUUUCAGUCAAUAGGGUGGCCUUCUGUUGUGGCAGUUGUGGGGAAUUGGUUUAGGGUUUAGACAGCGGCCAUCACACGCCGGCCACGGUCACGCACCACCCCCAGGUCCGGGACACCACGAGCCUCCUCCGCCCCAUGGCCAUGCUCCUCCUCCGGGGCCUCAUGCACCUCCUUCGGGACCCCAUACACCUCCUCCGGAACCCCAUGCACCUCCUCCGGGACCCCAUGCACCUCCUCAUGAUCCACACAAGCCACAUGACCCGCACCACGGUCACCACCACCCAUGAACCGAACUAGUCAUGAGGGAUCACGAAGCUAGCUAGUCUCAGCAAGUUGUUAUCUAUUUCUGCCUGUAAUGUGAUCUAGCUGCGCUUGUAGUUCUGAGUUGCUGGGUUUACUGGCUUUGCUCCAUUGAUCUCAUCGUUAUGUAAUGACUAAAAUAUGAUGACUAUGUAUGUAUCCAAAAGAAGGCUGAUCAUAUAUGUAUAAUAAGAAGAGUACUGGCUUUCUGGUUUAUGUAUAAUCCGCUUGUGUAAAACUUCUUCUCUGUUAUCGGUCUAAAUGUGAUGUAUGAUCAGAAAAUAUGGUCAGUUUGUCCUCUUGACCAACCUUAACUUACAAACUAAUUAAGUCAAUCUCCCCAAUUUCAUCAAUCUUUAUUAGGAUUUCAUCACUCAUUCCUUCACAGAUAAUUAACCACACAUCCAAGCUGCAUUUGCUCGAUUGCUCUUAACAAACUGUAAUAAUUAACCAAGAGGCAAACGCAUCCAUCUAAAGUCUAAAAAUUAAGUUAUUAACACAAGGUUAAAUUAUCCAUUGUUCAGACCAAUCUCACAGUUAGAGCGAUGAAUUGGCUAAAACAAAAACCUACGGGAGAAAAAGAAAGCAUGUCUAUUCAUACGGAUGAAUGACUUCCAUAUAUAGUAAGCCUUAUAGUUAUAACACCGUAAGUGUAUAAGAAUAGGAAUUCAUAAACACAAUAAGAAGAAGAUCGUGAAAGAGAUCGAAGAUUAAAGCAGGCCUUACUGUCUUACAUAUUCUGUACAACAUUUCAACUGCUAGAUUUUCUCGAUGCAUUCGUUAGCUUCUGUUUGUAACCUUUCUUCUGUCAAAUCCUCCAUAUACGAACUCAUGGCUUUUCACGAGCAAUAAUUCUUAAAAGGUCCCAUUAACAAGCCUCAAGUACGUUGUUCUUAUCUCCUUUUCCUUAGCUCACCAAGAAUUCAACUAUUCCCAAGUGCAGCAACUAGUUUCUGUGAUCGAUCUACGCAAAGUUAAAGUUAUUGCUCAAAAGAGAAAGAGAAAACGGAAGUUAAAGUUCCAUGCUGCCCUAGUUCAAGUACGCACUCAGUUAUGACCUUGUGGUUCUUACAAUGGAUGAAGCAUUACCAAACAAAUACUCAGAAGAGAAAAACAAAACAACCACAGUGCACGAUUAACAUGCUAGCUAGCUUUCAUUGUGUGCAAAUAUCCUGAGCUACCAUUCCACCAAAACAAGCUAAAUAAGUUUAUCCUUGUAUGGAUAUUAUGUGAAUCGAAAUAAUUGUAUAUUUGAUUCUUAGAUAUUAAGUGGCACCUAUUACAACGAAGCAUGUGCCAUGCAUUCUGAAGAUCAUGUCGACACAUCUUAAUAAUCUGGAGCCCGUACCGACACCUUUCUCCUAUAAAAUCAACUCCUACUAGCUUAAACUCUUCAACAGCUCGCCACAUCAAGAACAACUUUCUUUUUGUUUAUACAAGCUAGUAGUCUCACCAAGAAUUCGAAGAUGCAGCACGGUGAUCACCAAGGAGGAGGUCCGGGAGGUCCGGGAGGUCCAGGAGGAGGUCCGGGAGGUCCAGGAGGCGGCCCUCAACAUGGUCAAGGUCAUCAAGGGGGUCCGGGAGGAGGGCAUGGAGGACCAGGAGGAGGAGGACAAGGGGACCAGGAGGAGGAGGACAAGGAGGACCAGGAGGUGGAGGACAAGGAGGACCAGGAGGAGGAGGACAAGGAGGACCAGGAGGAGGAGGAGGAGGAGGAGGAGGACAUGGUGGUCACUGAUCAUGGCUCUAGACUACGUAUACUACUUGUGGUGUACUAGCUAGCUGAAUAAAAGUCUCUAUGUGACUUCUGUGUUAUCGUUUAUGUGUUAUCAUUUCCUAGUUGGGUCGAUGAGAUCCUAGAUAGUGAAGCUAGCUAGGGGAGUCGAUCUUGUGUUUGGAGUCUGUUAAUGUAUGUGUAAUAAAACCAUACUAGUUAUGUAUUUGAUUCGUCUCUUAGGCUUAACAUUGCAUGCAGCUAUAAUAUUCUUAGAUGACUAAGAACAUAAGAAACAGAGCAGUACUGUUGGUGAUUUACAAGAUUCAAUUUGUAUAACUGAUCUUUGGCUGUCCUAAAUAACCAUCAAGCAGCAAAGCUAAGAACGAACAUAUUAUAUAAACUGCCAGAUGAUCAAGCAACUUUGCAGAGGGACUAUGACGAAACGUCUGAGAACCCAUCUAGCAGCUUAAUUAGAACAAUUUUGCAAAACAAACACAAACUCGUAUACGGUACCGAAAAUAUAAGUAUAACCGUUUGGAAUGUCAAGUUUAUCAAUAUUCUGAAACCAAAUAUCGUCAAUCAAUUAUGAUCUUCUUCAAAGCGAGUAUAUAUUUAGCGUAUCGAUAUAACACUGUAGAUGUCUACGAAAUCAUGCAUUAAGAACAUACCAUUAUAUUCCUUCACUUUUUACAAAAGAAUACCAUUACCGUUAAGCUUUAAUUGACAUACGAUUGUACUUUGUAGUGAUACAUCUAAUUAUAUUGGUCGUGUGGUGCCCUUAGUAUAUUAAAAGGAAAAAAAAAAUUAUUUGGACUCCGAUCAAUUUCCCCCUCUGAAGGCCGCCACAAUAAGCAGAACUAAAGAGACCAAAAGGCCCAAAGGAAACCACAGAAAUUGGCAUAAAGGUACAAGUGCAGCCCAACUUUCUUUCCCUCCAUUUUUGACCCAAAAACAAAAAAACAAAAGAAAACUACUUCCUCCAUUUGUCUUGAUAUAAUUAGGUAAUACAGGUUGCUUCACAGACAUCUCACCCUUCACCAGGAAGGCCCUCAUUUUCUUUUGAAUCUGGUGGCCUUCCUCUUCAUUUACAGAUCCAAAAACCCCCUUAUAUUCUUCUGUACAUAGAUAUUUCUCAAUCCCACAAAUCAAUCCCCAAAACCCUAAUCAAAGAUCCAUCCUUUCCUUCUCCUCUGCCUCAAUCAACAACUGGGUUCAUCAAUUCAGGUACAAAUUGAGUUCCUUUUUCUUCUUCACAGCAAAUGGNNNNNNNNNNNNNNNNNNNNNNNNNNNNNNNNNNNNNNNNNNNNNNNNNNNNNNNNNNNNNNNNNNNNNNNNNNNNNNNNNNNNNNNNNNNNNNNNNNNNNNNNNNNNNNNNNNNNNNNNNNNNNNNNNNNNNNNNNNNNNNNNNNNNNNNNNNNNNNNNNNNNNNNNNNNNNNNNNNNNNNNNNNNNNNNNNNNNNNNNNNNNNNNNNNNNNNNNNNNNNNNNNNNNNNNNNNNNNNNNNNNNNNNNNNNNNNNNNNNNNNNNNNNNNNNNNNNNNNNNNNNNNNNNNNNNNNNNNNNNNNNNNNNNNNNNNNNNNNNNNNNNNNNNNNNNNNNNNNNNNNNNNNNNNNNNNNNNNNNNNNNNNNNNNNNNNNNNNNNNNNNNNNNNNNNNNNNNNNNNNNNNNNNNNNNNNNNNNNNNNNNNNNNNNNNNNNNNNNNNNNNNNNNNNNNNNNNNNNNNNNNNNNNNNNNNNNNNNNNNNNNNNNNNNNNNNNNNNNNNNNNNNNNNNNNNNNNNNNNNNNNNGUCCUGAUCAUCACCUUCCUUGCCUAUGCUUCCUUCCACGCCUCCAGGAAGCCCCCCAGCAUCGUCAAGAGUGUUCUUGGCCCCAACUCCAGUCCAAUUCGAGCUCUUUCGACACCGGUUGGGCUCCCUUUAAUGGCCCUGAUGGCACUCACAGGCUUGGAGAACUUGAUCUUGCAUUUCUAUCUGCAUAUUCUAUUGGAAUGUAUUUUGCAGGGCAUGUUGGUGAUAGGAUUGAUUUGAGGUUGUUUCUUGCUUAUGGGAUGUUAGGGAGUGGAGUUUUGACAUGUCUUUUCGGGUUAGGUUAUUGGUGCAAUGUGCAUAUGUUGUGGUACUUUGUGGGUGUGCAAGUUGUGUGUGGGUUGUUUCAGUCAAUAGGGUGGCCUUGUGUUGUGGCAGUUGUGGGGAAUUGGUUUGGGAAGACGAAAAGGGGGUUGAUAAUGGGUGUGUGGAGUUCACAUACUUCGGUUGGGAACAUUGUGGGAUCGGUUAUUGCUUCCGGGGUUUUGGAAUACGGAUGGGGUUGGUCGUUUGUUGUGCCUGGAGUUUUGGUGAUAUUGGUGGGAGGUUUGGUGUUUUUGUUUCUUCCUGUGAGGCCGGAGGACUUGGGGUUUGAGGUGCCGGGGAAGGAGGAGGUUGAGAUGAAUCUGGAGGUUAAUGGGGUGGUGAAUGUGGAGAAGGUGGAAUCAGAAGAAGCUGGAUUACUUAGAGGGGAAAAUGUAGAUGCUGAUGUUGGUGCUGGGGCGGAAACUUUGACUGCGAUUGGGUUUUUGGAGGCGUGGAGGUUGCCGGGGGUUGCGCCAUUUGCGUUCUGCCUCUUCUUUUCGAAGCUGGUGUCUUACACUUUCCUGUACUGGUUGCCUUUCUACAUAAGGCACACAGGUAAUUCUUUGACUCUGAUGCUCUUGUAUGAUAAACUGAAUUAUUUUGGCAAUGUUUGUGCUUAGGAUCACAAGAAAGAUGCAUGUGCUGUAUGAAAUACCAAAUAGAAUUAAAGAAAUCAGUGUUCAUAACUAUAGAUUUCAAUUUACUUAUUGUAGUUUGGUGUUAUUAUGAACUCGUCAUAUUAAUCAUGACUUCUGUUUUACCUUGUAGCUGUUGCUGGGGUGCAUCUGUCACACAAAACUGCUGGAAACCUUUCUACAAUAUUCGAUAUUGGAGGAGUCCUUGGUGGAAUUCUAGCGGGAUUGAUAUCAGAUAUGCUUGAAGCUCGGGCUGUUACAUCAAUUGCAUUUUUGUUACUUUCAGUCCCAGCCCUUGUUCUCUACAGGGCAUAUGGAAGCUUAUCUAUGUUUGCCAACAUUGUUCUGAUGUUUAUUGCCGGAUUGCUGGUGAAUGGUCCAUAUGCGCUCAUCACAACAGCUGUUGCUGCUGAUCUCGGCACUCAGACCUUAAUCAGAGGCAAUUCUCGUGCCUUGGCUACUGUAACCGCAAUCAUAGAUGGUACGGGGUCUGUUGGAGCAGCUCUUGGUCCUCUUUUGGCAGGCUACAUUUCAACAAGGGGAUGGAACAGCGUUUUCUUGAUGCUAAUUGUUGCUAUAUUUUGUGCCACUUUGUUUUUGAUACGCAUUGCUAGAACUGAGAUUAAAGAGAAGUUGAGCGGGAAAAUAUGGUUUUGGUGUAGCAUAGACACACAAUGAUUGAGAAGUAAUAGACAGAAAUUCUUGUAAGAUUACGGUACAGCAUAGACACAAUGAUUGAGAAGUAAUAGACCGAAACUUUUUGUUUUAGUGUAUUCUUGAAGUCUGAGUAUCAGUUUGAUGACUCUUUGUGCACUUGUGAUAAAAUCGUUAAAGGAAGAAUAUAAAGGGUAAACAACCAAAAUGUUGGAAAGGAAAAGAAGAGUAUGUACAAAUUCAAAGCUAAAAGUACAGUUACAGAACAAUUUAUAAGCAACUGAGAACUGCCUUAACCUCUCAUAUGCAACGCAAUUCCUUACCUCAAAGUUUGAUCUCCAUUAUGUUCUAUUAGUGUACAGACUGUUAUCCCAAAACUUGGCAAUACGAAUGUCUUCUGCAUCCUUCUCAUCUUCUGUAGAAUCAACUGAAGCACUAGAUAUAGAGGAAGCAAGGCUGCAGUCCCUGGAUAUAUAUACAGAAGCCGAAGUUCUUAUUGAUCAAUUCUAAGUUUUAACCUUUGCCCAUCACCAGAAACAUCAACAAAUGGAGCACACUAGUUCAUCUAUUGAUCUAAGAAGAACUGAAGAUUUUGUAGUCCCUCAGCAGAAAUACUACGUCUGACUCUAGACCUUUCGACUACCACAUGUGGAGGUGGCUCCAAGUGGAAACUCACCAUAACAAGUGUCAAAUUGUCAGUUGCACCACGUUUUAUUGCCUCCUCUACUAUUUGCUUGCAACACAGCUUCACAUCAUUGUGCUCUUGGAGUUUCCUUCGAGCAAAGUCUACGGCAUUUUGGUUGGUGAAGACAUCCCAUAUUCCAUCACUACCAAUGAUUAAAAAUUCAUCAUCCUUGGUCAGUGUUGUCAAUUUAAGUUCUGGCUCAGCACUCAAGGGUCCUCCCCUUUCACCUUCAUCCUUCAAUCCUUCAAGAUGCCAAUCACCUAAUGCACGGGUAACCCCUAACUGACCAUUCAGAUAACCAUCAUCAACAUAUCCACCCAAAGACUCAAUCCUCAUCCUUUCUUUUGUGCAGCAGGGUCUAUGAUCUUUUGACAUUUCUAUAGCUGCUCCAUUUCGUGACAAUAUAGCCCUACAAUCUCCGGCAUUCGCCACAAGCAAAGACCUGUCCAACAAUAACGUUUUUUUUUUAUAAGGAACAACAAACAGAACAAAAGUCUGACGAAAACAAACUAAGCAGUAUCAAGAACUUAGACGUGAGAAGGGGCCAACAAAGAGUAGAUGUAAAUGAAGUAAUUCAAUUCCAAUGUAACACCCCAUGUUUGGGCCGGUUACUUCCUUUCCUAUACUUUAAGCACAAGCACCAAGACUAGCAGAUUUUUUCAAUAUAUUGCUUGUAAGACGACAUGAAGUAAAUGCAGCCUAUGAACACUGGAACAAAGAGUUUCUUACCUCCCAAAUAUCAUUGCAGUGAGUGCAGUUGUGCCAGAAGCAAGGGAAGACCGAACAGAGCAAGUUUUUGCAAAUGCAGCAUCUGUCUCAACAAAUGACCUUGUUAUUACCUUUUCAAGCUCUACCGGAAAGUCAGAAUCCUCAACAAUAACUCUUGGCAAGUUGUCACGAACAAAUUGCGCUGCAUCUUUUCCCCCAUGACCAUCAAAUACCUGUUUAAAUUGACAUCGCAUCAUUCAGACCAUGACUUAGAAUGGAAAGCAAAGAAGCAUUGCCAUACAGCGAAGUGUAGUAAACAGAAGAAGGUAAGUGAACUUACACCAUAGAAGGAGAUAGCUUCUUCGUCAUUGAGUACAUUAUAACCAAAUUUCUUAGCCAAGUCACCAAUGCAUAUAUGAGUAUCUUCCAUAUGGGAGCGAAAUCCAAUAUCAGACCACUCUCCUGACCGAAGGGCAGGGACAAAGUGUAACAUGUUCUGUUUUGGAUCUACAACUACUGAAUCCUCAGAUAUGCUUUCCAGCUGAAAGAUUAACAAAAUAACAAAACUUAGAUCAGAUAUAAGUCUCAAGAACAAUUAACUUACGGAACUCAAACUUCUCCCCAACUAAUAUCUAAACUUCUGCAGGACAAACCAACCAUAAAUAAACCUCGGAUUAAAGAACAAAAUUUAAAUAGCACCUAACCAUCAACCAAAUCAGGAUGUUCACAAAAGGGUGGAAAUGAAUUGCUAAAAACAAAGUCAUUAUAUAAAAAGAAAAAGAGUAUGAAACAUCAAUCAUUCUCUUUUUCCCUGUUCUGUAACUUCUUUCAGAUAAACUGAAAUCGAAGCACAAAGAAUAGAAACUGUCCCACACAAGAAUACGAACCUCAAAAUAUCAUAGUUUGAUCAUAAAUAAACACAUUUAUUUGGUAAAAGUUCACCUUCCAGAUUCCCAAUCAUUCACAGCAAGCCAAUUAAAUUGCAGCUUACUAAAAAGGAUUGGUCUUUAACAGUUUAACAUGUGAAAACAGUACAGCAUUAUUAAUCAAGCUGAAAACUUUCAUAUCUGAUACAGUAAAAACCAAUUACUAUAGUAAAGUGCAGAAUCAUGAGUAAUGUCAAUCAUGAACCAAAUAAGAGACCCAAAUCCCAGAGCUCAAUUUCAACCAAAUGGGUCCUAAAAAGUUCCAAACUUGACAACAACCCAACAAAGCUAAGCCAUCAAAGAACACAAAAUUGAUUGAAUUCUCACCUGAAACGAAUUCAACACGGUGCUCUGCUGAUCGGAGCUCAUCACCAUAGAUUCCUUGUUGUUGUUCUCCAUGUUUCCCAUUUCUGCAUCAUUCAAACACAUGCCUUAGUGCUUUGAGAUGAAAGAUUAUAAUGUCGGUGCUAUUUUCAGUGCUUGAAUUCUCAGCAAAGUUGUAGAGGGAAUCAAAUAGUAGAAACAGAGAGAACAGAGGAAAUAUAAACUUGUGGAGAGAAGAAGAUUCUGGGAAUAUGUGAGUGGGAAAUGGGGGCCUCUGUUUUAGACUAUUGACUAUUGAGUAUUUAUCAGAGAGAAAGAUGAAAGAAUGGAGAUUCCAGAUUUUUCUGUGAAAAUGUGGCUGAAAAUCAGUUUGUUGGGUUCUAUAAUAUUAUUAUUCUUGUAACCAAAAAUAAUAAUAAUAUUAUUAUUCUACUGAAAAAAGAAGAAGAAGUUUUUUGGUCUUGCUUCUUGCUUACAGAUGAGGUAAGCUAAAACUGGGACUGUAUUUUGUUGCCUAUUUCCUUGUCUCAAAAUUUAGAGGAGGUAAAGAUGCCAAGUUUUGGUGUUGAUUAAUAUCUAUAUUGUGUUUGACCAAGAUCACCAACUAACAUCUUCACCAAAAAGGGUUCCACUUUCUGAAAUGUCACAACCACUAAAACCAGGUUUAUUUAUCUUAGUGAUUAACUACCGAUAAUCAUAUCAGAGGAAUUAGGCCAUGUGUUGUUAGUGGUUACUGGGUAGGGUGUGUGAUAUUCUCAAAGAAAUGUAAUGGAAAAAGAUUAUGUUAUUAGCAUAACAAGGAUGUGGUUAGGAUAGUAUUCAAAGAUAUAUAUCACAUAUGCUUCAUUGUGGUUAGGAAUAUAAAUUUCAACCUAUGUAGCAUGAAAGAGAUCAAAUCCGAUAUAUUUCAAACACAAUUGAUGAACCUUUGUUUUAUUUAAUCAACAAUAAUUGCCCCCUAAAAAGUUUGAAAGUGAACGGAAAGGUAUGUUCAAUGUGAAAGUGAUCAUGCAAGACAAUGACCUUAGAUUUUUUUUUUUUUUCUUUUUCCCCUCCUUUAUUCUGCCUCAACUUUUUCACAAUAACAAAUCUCCAGAAAAUAUCUUCUCCUCUUAUAUGGAAACUCUGCUCCUUGUUCAUCAAGCACAGUGAUAAUUUGCUGUUCUGGGUCAUUUCAUUUACACCAUUGUUAUUGCCCUUUGCCCAUUUAAAAGGUUUUUCCACAAUAAUAUGAAGCACCACUAUUCUUUCCAGUAACUUCUAUAUUUACAGUUUUGGGUAAAAUUCUUUUGCAAAUGUGAACACAGUGAAGAAAUGGAAUAUAAUUUAGCUGUGAGUCUUUGCUGUCAUAUUCAGAAGUUUGAGCCUAGGAGACGUACUCUGUUAGUUUUCUGGGAAAACUUUAAUUGGUUAGUUGGUAAGUAUUGGUUGAAGGAGAAUCUUCAUCUUUCAGAUGACACAACACACAAGUGAGACUGAUACGUGGCCCAAUUGUUGUCACCCACAAAUUCACUUGUGGUUUCAAACAGAACAGUAACAUAUCAUGAAUUGAUAGUAUGCAAGUGCUUUUGUCAAUGAAUCGAAAUUUUAGAGCUACGUUGGCAACGAUCAGGUUGUUUGUAUGGAUCAAUCGCCUUGCUUGCACGUUUUACAUGGAUCUUCCCUUGUUUAAGCGGUAGGUGAUCAAUCACCAUUUUCUUGUUUGACGAUUUCAUAUAGAACUUCUGGCACCGCGAUUUGAUUAAUAAAUAUAGCUAUAGCUUAGAUUAUGCUCGAUAGCAUUACUCCAACUUACUGUUUUUCAACAAGUUUUAAACACUGGUUUUUAAGAAUCCAUCAUGUUAAGAGUUUUUGUUUUCUGUUUUCAUUACACCAAAAAAAAGAUUUGCCGGAAGAAUCAUGCAGGUUGGUCUGACUCAAAACAAGUUCCACUUCAUCACAAACGCGAUUGCCACAAAAGAAAAGUGGCAAGAACUACGGAAGAACUAAUACGAAUUAAGAUAAUAUGCGCAGUUUUGAUCCUGGACUGAAAACAACAUACCAAAGGAUCUCCAAAAUUCCAAAAUCUAAAUAAUAAUCAAAAGUUUUAACAACAGAAUGGGCAGCACCGUUAACCAUUAAUAGUCUUCUCAAAGUUCAUAAUCAGUUCACCCUAAACCAUCUACAAUAUCACCCUACCAUGAGAAUUAGACUUAACUUCCAGUGAAAGCCUUCUUUCCAAAAGCUGACGACGAUCCAGCGGGAAUCACCUUCAGCACAUUGAACCUCUUGGUCUUGGACAAUGGCCUAAACAUAGACAAACAAAUAAAAGAUGAGCAACGCACACAUAUUAGAACACUCCAUCAAGAGUAGUAGUGGCUUAGAAAUUUGACCUGCACUGCCCGAUGAUAACAUGGUCUCCUUCUUUCACACGGAAGCAUGGAGACACGUGUGCAGCAAUGUUCGAGUGCCUCUUCUCAUAUCUGAAGCAUGAUACGAAACAGAAUAUUUCAGUAUUACAUAAAAGAGCAUCCUUUUACUUUACCACAAUGAAAACAUAACUUGUAGAAAUCAAGAGAAAUGAACUCCAAUACCGUACCUUUGAUACUUCUUGAUAUAAUGCAGGUAAUUCCGUCGAACAAUAAUGGUCUUGUUCAUCUUAGCGCUGUGGCAAGUACCAGCUAAGAUACGUCCCCUGAUAGAGACAUUCCCAGUGAAUGGGCAUUUCUUAUCAAUGUAUGUCCCUGUUAGAUCCCCAAAAAUAUCGAAUCCAUAUCAGCAAAAACACUAAAUGCUCAUCAUCCAAUUACUCAACUCCUCCAAGAGAAAUUAUACUCCCACAUUUCCCUAGUUCAGCUAGGAACAUCUUAUAUCAUCAAGGCUAUACUAAACACACUUUUCGCCAUUCUACGAGAAUUCAAACCAUCCAAUAACAAAGAGCAAUGCGAUCACACAUUUUUGUACUGAAACAAAUCGAUCAAAUUGCCACAAACAAAUCAAAAACUCAAGUAAAACACAACAUGUCCAUACACACACUACUCCAUUUCACAACAAAAUCGAGAGUGCAAUACCUUCGAUGGCAUCCCUCGGGGUCUUGAAGCCGAGCCCGACGCUCUUCCAGAACCGGUUGCCACCUUUUCCAGGUCUCUUUCCCUUUCCGGUUUUCUUCGAGCUAAAAAACCAAAUCAAAACCUUAAGAAAACAAAAAUCAUGAUCAAAUUGAAUAAAAACCAAAUCUUGAUUUUGAAGCUGAGAAAUUCACCUCAAGAACACCUUAGGCUGCUUCAGAAAAGCUUUCUCGGUCUGAAACCAAAUCACACUGUUAGUGAGAGCAACUAAACCCUAACCAAAGAGUAGAGAGAGAGAAAGAGAGAGAGCGAACCUGUUCGGCCAUGAUUGAUUGCUCGGAGAGACGAAGGUGAGUUUCGGCGGAGGCUCGGCGGCAGUUAAGCUCUAAACCCUAAGAUGCACCAGCUGUGAGCUUCUCCUACAAAUUAUAAGGGCGGCAAUUCGGGUCGGUUUGGGCCCAGUUUAAGCCGGUUUUUCUCAUGGGCCAGAAUGGAUUGUACCUUUGGGCCUUAUGAACUAUGUUUAAACACGUGUCCUGAAGGAAGCUGUGAUCAAAAGCAUAGAGCUUGUGGCACAGAUUCUCUCAACCUUUUUUUUUUUAGAAGAAAAAGAAAAUUAUAACGAGACGCUUCUAGGGCAGCCAAUAUUAACAGUAUCUAAAUGGAAUGCUUGCGCAGCCUGAGGAGGAAGCGCACCUAGCCAAAUCUUCAGAGAAUGCAAACUGUACCCGAGAUUUACAAGAGCAUCAGCUAAGAAAUUAACUUCUCGGAAGACAUGAUCAAAGCUGAUAUUAUCAAACUCACUAGCAACAUGAAUGACAACAACUUCUCUCAACUUGAAUAAUAAAUGUUAGAUGUUAUUUGAGACUACUACAAGGACUAACCUAAUAAAGGUUUAUAUCCAUCAUCAGCUCACAACCUUUCUUCAUAUCACCGAAUACAUCCAUCAAGGUGGUAGGGAUGCUGGCUGAAAAUUGAAGCAUAACCCUGAAACCUUUGAUCAUGAAGGCGUCAAGCUCUACGGUUACUAAGAGUCGACGGAGAGGUUCGAAUCCAGGGAGUCUCAUGUACGUUUUGCGAUCGAGCGAGGGCAAGGAGGCAGUUAAAAUUCGACUCCAACUCCAUGAAAACAGGUGUUGGAGAAGAAGGAUAUAUCGAGGAAGGAAUUGAGCUGCUACUCGACAUAUCAAAAAGCAAGUGGAUUCUUGGUUGGUUGAAAAAAAAAAUGGCUAUAUACACUGAUAUACAGGCAGGAUGAAGAAGCUGGAGGAAAAUCUAUCCAAACAUUUCAUGUUGUCAUCCAAUCAGCCACCUGCUGAUCUACUAUAAGAGAUAUACAAGAUAAUUCAAAAACCUCACAUGAAUCACCCCCAAAGAUGAAAUUCGGACUCAUAAUUUCAAGUCAAAUAACUCUCUCAUAUUUAUAUAUCUUCAAAAUCACGUCCCCAGAGCAAAUCAUAACUCAAAAGUUCUACAAUCUUGCUUGAGAUGUAAAAAAAGAAAGCCGAUAUUGACACAAUGAGUAACGCCAUGCACCAUUUGCCGGCAGCAGAAGUACAUGAUUUUGUAACUGAAGAUAACUGAUCACUUUUCACCAUGGAUAGCUGCUUAGACAAGAUAACCUACUCGUUCUGCAUUUUAAGAAGCCAAUACUGUCAGUUCACAAAACCCAGGAGAAACUCUUAAACUUCAGUAUAUAUUUCCUAAUGCUGCGGUGUAAGAUUAUUGUUCCCACAAAGGAUGAUCUCUCUUGAAUUGUAAUUCUUGAACUAAGUUCACUAUGUGACAUCUUUAAGUUAUGCUAUGUAGGACAUUCACUACGAAUUAUAAGAAGCCAUGACUUGGUAGUAAUCGUUAAUUGUAUGCUGUAUGCUUCCACUACUGACUUUAAAAUGUGGGGAAUUUAUUUUAGAGAGACAAUAUGACUAUAACGUAUGGCAACCUUAGAAGCAUCAGUUAAAACAGAAAGAGAGAAUCAAAACAAAAAAUGGAUAAGAUUUUCAACAACAGCACCUUUUGACGUUUUGAACUAGGAGGCUCGUCACAAUCACUCUGACUAUGCCGACGCGAUGUCCCAACAUUGGAAUUUUCCGUCUGCAAAACAUAUACAUGAUGACUUCAAGUUCUCUAUUAUUUAAAUUUUGUUUACUUCAGCCUAAAAUCAAGAUUUACAAAAUGUAAAUUUUCUUUGGCCAUGAUGGGGAAAAAUGCUAACUGAAAUAGAAACCCAAAGCCUGUUGAAACAUGAAGCAUAGAAGGCCAGUAAAUGAUAGAUGGUGUAACAUGCAUACCACGGUGGAAGAGUCUUGGGCCAUUGUGUGCUCAGAAGAAUUUUCCGCUUCUGCAGGUACAUGACCUGGCUCUCUAGUUGCUGCUUGAGAUAUCAAUGGCAUUACUUGAUGAAGCAAAUUAGACAAAAAUAAUCCUUCUUCAGUAACCCUCAGUUCAGCUUCUGGAGCAACAGCAACACCACUAGGUGUCCUUGCCUGAUCUGAUACAGAACUAGAAUUCAUUCCUUGUACACUGCCAUCUUCUACGCGAAUUUCAUCACCAGGAAAGAGAGCCCUUAGUAUAUUUAAAAUACCGCUUGGGACCUGUCUCUCAGAUUCUUGAUCGUUUUGGGUUCCACCAGAUGAAAAAAGGUUGAUACUAACACUUCGUCCAAUGGGGGGAUCUGGUUGCCUUAUAUAGGGAGUUGAUCCUGCAAGACACAGCCAGUAUAAGUAUUUCAACUAGUAUAGCUACUUCAGAGUCUUGGUUAACUAAUGUAGAAGAGACAAACUCAAUCCGGUUGGCGUACUUGGUUUAUAAUUUUGUAAUACUCAACAGAAAGAAAAAAUGGAAAUAUUACCCUCUCUUGCAGGAUCUGUAAUGUUUUCUGAAGAUUGCCGAUCAGUAUGAAGGCCGGCAGGAUGACGAUCACCAGAUGCUUGAGAUACUUGCUCAGCAUUCACAUUUCCAGAAGCUACAUUUUGAGACCUUCCAAGAAAUGGAUAGUAUAACCCAAAUGAACUACCAGCAGACUCCGAUGGUAUGCGACUGCCAAGUACGGUCCUGAUUGGCACUACCCUUGGCCUUACACCCAAAUCUCCAGCAGAAGCUGAACCAUCUGAGAUACUUGGCGCUGUUUGAUUGGCAGGAUUUUCACCACCUGAACUUGGUGCUGCGUUUCUUUGUAAAGGUUGCUGAAGAUCGAGAUGCUCCUCUCGAUUGACAUUGGCAGUGGUCGUUGGUGAACCUUAUGGUGAAAGUAAAUAAUACUUAUACACGGGCAUAUAUUUUACAUCAAACAAGAAGUAGACAGAACAUGGAAUAUAUAACAGGUACCUCUUCGUAUUUGUAUAUCAAUACGCCUUGGAUGAAAACCAGAACCAAAUCCAUUCAGUAGACCAGAACCAGGCUGCAGAGCUCCCAUGGGCAUGGCACCUACACUCAUUCCUGAUUGAAAUGGAAGAGGCUGGCCGAGUAUCAUUCAGUCUCAAUCAGCACAGAUAAACAAACUUCAGAAGAGAGAUUUCAAUCUCUGAUUUAGGUGUAGAAAAAUACCUGAACCAUUAUAGGGUUAGGACCCGUCGGGGAUAUGAAAACUGCAGGUCCAGCAUUAACCACUGCAUCAGACUGUGAGAGAUGAGCCAAAAAAAAAAAUUACACAUCAGAUAAUACUCGAAAGGAAUUUGAUGAGUCAGAAAGCAAAUUUGGAUUCAGAUGAUACCGGUGUUAGGCCCAUUUGCACUGUCAUCAUUGUACGGCCAAGUUCAAGUAAACAGGCACCUAAAUUAUGAAUCACGGCUCCGGUACUCAAUGAACUGGCUUGGAUUCGCCUCCUUACUGAGUGAUCCGUCACAUUUGCUUGAUUCUCCAACUGGCUUGCAAGUUGCUGCAAAGAUGAUGUAGCAUGAAAAAUCACUAUGUCUUUUCGUUUAACAGAAUAAAAUCAAAGAGUCGUAAGCUUGUAGCUAAAUUAUGAGGACACCAGAUAAAAUCAAGCUACUAGCACACUAUCGAAUUUGAAAGGCCAAAUUAUAUACUAGCGACAAUAUAUAGGAAAUUUACAAUUACACUUGAGAACGCACAAGUAGAGAGUCUCCAACUUGUUCAAUGAGUAAUAGUCUAGCAGUACGGAUGACUUCUGCCAAUGAUGCAGGUGAGGGGGGGCCCUCUCGUCUUAUUCCAGAACCAGAUGACGAAUUCGAACUUCCGUCAUUCCUAUGAAUAGCUGCUUGACUCUGUCCUCCAUCUCUGGCUGUUAGUGAAUCAAUAAAAGCAAUUAUAGAAAACCAGAAGCAUAGGUGAAAAAAACAUAAAUUAUCAAAAGACCUAUGGAGAAUACUCACCAAUUGCCUGAAAGUCGCGCCUUAUAUGACUCAGAUAUCGAGAUAAAGUAUUCAACGAAUCAGGAAUCACCUAAAAGGACCACCAAUAAAGCAGAAAAGUCAAUUCAUACAGAUCCAAAUACUAAACAUCAAAGCAGGCAUAAAAUAAAAUGAUAGAAUAAAGUUGGAACUUUAAACUUGCCAGAGGUGGCAGAUUCCCCAAUGAAAAUGCCGCGGACUGACCAAAAGUGUCAUUUGAUCCAUCAGGUUGAGCCCUUGCGGUAGUUUGCUCAGAAAGAAGUUGGGUUAAACCAAACAAACCACUCAAACCUGAUGUCCUUUCUGGCCUAUUUGUCCCAGGAGGAAACUGCAGCAUAUCAACCAUCCAUGUACCAAAUUUAAGAUACAAGUACAGAGAAGUAAUUGACAUUCGACAAAAAGUGGUAUAUGAACGUAGAUUAUACACAAUAUUUAUUAAUUCUCAAGAGGCGCCAUUGCAAUUUCUCUUUUCCUUUCAACAUCAAACAAUGCAAAGAAGCAUGGCUAAAUUUUUUACUUCGGCACCCACCAGACCCGAAUAAGUCAAGUGUGCAGUUACAGGCAUACUUUGGGUCAUAUAAGGUUUAGCUUGAGUUUUUAAAGUUUUAACGUUUACCAUGACAUCAACCCCUUCACUGGCACUUGCAAUAUUUGGAAUUCCGACAGAGCCCAGAACAGCGGAGAGAAACUACACACCAGCAGAGAUAAUAAUAAAAAAACCAUCAUAAUUAGACAUAAUUCGACACGUGGGAACAUAUAUCAUUUAGUUAGUACUCACCCGACUAUAAUCUGGUUGAACAUCCCCCCCAACAGGCAAACUGAAACUUUCAAUGAAGACACUUGAUCGACCACGGCUUGUACUUGAAGCAGGAUCAGUUGCUAAAACCAGUGAAAGCAUGCAAAAAACAGCUGUGAGAUUUAACAAUUGUACCAAUAGAUUGAAAAGAGAAACAUUAGCGUGUCAAAAGCUUAUACCACAAUUUCCAUAGAAGAUGUGGCCAAUCAUAUAUUGUCAAAAGAAACAUUUAAAGAAUAUCAUUAUACGAGUGAUAUCAACCUGAAUGAUCUGCUAGUCCCUCAGAUGAUGGUGGAAUAGGUUGUCUGACAACCAAAUGUAAGGUGUGGCCAUCCUCAACAUCUAAAUCAUGUUAAGAAAAUAUUUGAAAUGCUUCAUAUCAAAAUCUGGUGAGUGAAACUUAUUUAAAAGUAGCAAGGGGCAUAUGAGCUUGACUCAAUAAAUUGAUAUUAAAUCCAUCUUAAGCAGUAACUUAUAGCCGCGCAUAGUUAAUAUCCCAGAUUGAUUGGUGACAUAUUAUACUAGCUAUGUAUCUUGAAGGACGAAGAGAUAAAGCACUCUUAAGUAACAAAGACAGCACAGAGUUUCAAAGCUUCAACUUCUACCAAUCAAAACAUUGAAAACAACAAAAGAAUAGGAUACGAUAGGCGGAGAGAAGCUGAUCAUCCUUGAGAACUUUUCCUCUGCAUAUUAGCCGUUGUUGCUCUGACAGCACACCAGUAACAGAGGCAAUCUGUUCUUUCAAAAUAGGAACUGGCAUCUGCAGUUCAUAAAACAAGAUAUUUAGAAAGCUUCAACAGCACAUAUAAUACCGGCAUGUCCUCACAGGAAUUAUUGAACUAUUCUGGAACUAGCAAGAGUACUUACCUCUUUAUCCACUUUGAGAGUAUAAGUUUGUGAAUCCAAUGUCUUUACUUUUAUCUCUAUCGUGGGCUCACUCAUCAAAAUAUCUUCAGCGCCAGUACUUCCCAUUCUUCUCAGGUCACACCGAUCCCUACAAAGAGGCAAGAGUACAUACAAGUCAUAAUCAUUCCACUUCCUUUUCUCCCCAUGUAUGAUUCUCCAAAAUCUAAACCGAUAUUGUAAACACAAAUUUCACUUAAAAAAAAAACUCGUCCUCACUAUUCUGCACUGACAGAACUAAACUCAAUUCCAAGUCUGCAAACAUGCAACACAACACAAAAACUGCACACAAUGACAUUGUGUAUGACAUAUGAAGCUGCAAAUAAACAUACAUAAACAUCAAACUCUUCUCAACCCAAUAAUCAACCAAAACCCAAAAACAACAAAACCCUCUUCAACUGAACCAACUCAAUUCCCAAUUCAACAACAUGCAAUCCUCACAUCACCAAACCCCAAGAAAUCCUAGGGUUUCAGACCCAACAAAAACAUACACACACAAUAAAGACUCAAACUUUCGCAACCAGCAACCGCAAAACUCGUAUCCGGCAAGCACCCAAUAAUAACCAGACCCGAACCCGCCCGAAAACCCGACUCACCCACCUAGAAACCGGAAAAACGAAAACCCCAAUUCGGCCACGAUCAAGAUUCAAGAAGCUGUACCUGGUUCGCCAAAAGACCAAAACUUUAAGCUUGAAUUGUCGGAUUUAGCCCUCCGGAGACGAGAACGGUCUCGGCGUCUGUGUCGUCUUCGGCGGUGGCGGUCGUCGGUGUGUGCCAGUAAAAUGAAGGACGACGACGAUGACGAUGACUCGAGGGAGGGAAAAAUAUCGGGUGGUGUCACGAAACCCUGUAAUAAUAAAGUUAUAGAACUUUUUUACCUCUUGUAAAUUUACCCUUUUGUCUUUUUUCGAUUUUCACCGCGUGCUUUUUUACUCUCGGGCUGAUUUGGAAUGGUAAAAAGAGGAGGGCAAAUUCACCACGUGGGACCCACACACACCUGGGGAGAUUUUGUUUUUGUCCAUUUUAGGUUAGAAUGUAAGAAAUAAGAUUAUGGGAUACGUGGUUCACCUAAUCAGAGAAUCAUGGUCAAUCAUUCUGAAUGUAAAUUUAAUGGUGAAAAGUAUUAUUUUAAAGUUAAAUUAUUUUGUUUUUAAAUCUUAGAUUUAAAUCUAACAGUGGUACUAAUGAGUUAUUGACUUAUUGGCAAUAUACACGAGUAUUACGAAUGUAAUUCAAAAGAACAAUGGUUGAAGAUUAUCAACUCAAUUUGAAUCUUGUUUUUUUUUUUUCUAUUUGUUAAUGCUUUUGUAAUUUAAUCGUUAGUCUCUCCGUCUUUGGCUAAUUCUCCAACUCCUAACGAGUUAAGUGUUAGUAAAUAAAUAUUCCUUCUUCAAAAGGAAACCAUACUUACCAAAGAAUAAUAGAAGGACAAACCCCGAUAGUGGCGCGCGCGCAGCUAGGUUUAGUUUUGGAAAGAUUUUAUAACUUCCAUACAGAACAAGGAAAUAAAAGGAAUUACCUCAAUGGAAGAGGAAAUAGUACGUGCAUGGGAGUGAUGGGACCUAUAAAUAGCUAGGUUAGUUAAUUACCUGAGCCACGCCAAGUUAACCAGUCUCGAUCAAACACUGCUUCAUAGUCUCAAUCACCAAACUAUGUCAAAAUCAGUGAUUCUUGUGGAGGAGAUCGACAAGUUCCGAUAUCGUAGCGAGAUUCAAGUAAAAGAUAUAAUCAGCUCAUCCACAAAGAGAAACUGGCACUCGUUGUCAGAGUUCCACCCUAGCGAGGUGGUUGUGUUCGAGUUUACUCUCACCAGGUCUUCAGAAAUAAUUGAUUCGGUACUCUUUUCCGAUCGAAAGCCGGUUAUAGUCCACCGUUCCGAGCUCUUCGACGGCGUCGAUACUUUGAUGCAUAAGGUGGUUGAGGUCACGAAAGAGGCUCUUAGAAGCAUGCGUGCUCCAGACGAGUACCUGCCGGAUACAAUUGCAAAGAUUUUCGACGUGGUUCGGUGCCUGGCAAGAGACAUGAAUCACCGUAAUGAAGUUUCCGUUAAUGUGGACAUAAAUUACUGUCAACUUAUUGAUCAUGGUGAUGAUGACAAUAGGGUUUCAGGCCAAGGAUCGAUGUCAAUGAAUUUCGGGUGGGGGUCAUUAAUGGAACCUCUUGAUAAUGAUGACGGAGUCUUCAAAGUUUCUGGCUUCGCCAACCCUAAUGAUGCAACUAAAUCAGCCAUUGAGAAGUUGGAGAAAGAGACUUGCAAGUUCAUGAUGUGCUACUUGUAGCAAUUUUGUUGAAACUUUCGGCAAGAUUACUUGCGAAUCUAACAACAUCGAGCUAUUGUUUUGAUUUUCAUGUUAAAGUUCUUAGAUACGAGUUUAUAUAUGCUCAUGGUGCUCAAAUUUAAUUCGUAAUUAAUAAUCUUUCACCAUUCUAAUUGAGAAACUUUCGCUGCUAAAUUAAACCGACUUCAAACUCUAACUUUAGUACCAAACGGACAAGAAUUUAUUUAUUCAUCAUGCCAUCAAGUCGAUUACAUGAUCAAAUUAUUGUUGCUAACAAACUAUAGGGAAAACAAACUACAUGUAAUAAUAGAUAGCUAAUUAGAAGAUCAAAUUCCAAAUCAUCAUCUAGCAUUGUCGAAGUCGAAUAAUAAGACUGAUGAUCUCUGCUCGUUCCCAUCAUUAUUCUAGUCUGCAACAUAAUUAAACAACUCAUCAAUUCACUAAAAUUUCACACAAAUUGGCUAGAAGGAGUAUGCAUGGCUGACCAAGUUAUGACAUACCUGAUUAAAACAUGGCUGGGGGUGGCGGGCUUACAUUCAUGCAUAUUGCAAUACACACAGGUAUACAAGCCGCCGGUGGAAUAUCCCUUGGUAUAUUGAAUCGUUUCCAACCAGGAGGACUGGGUGGAGAUCUAGGAGGUGUAGGAGCUACCGGAGCAGGGGGAGGGGGAGUACCAGGAGGGGUAGGAGCUUGCGGAGCUGGGGGAGGCGGAGUACCAGGAGGCGUAGGAGCUUGCGGAGUUGGGGGAGGUGGAGUACCAGGCGGUGUAGGAGCUUCAGGAGCUGGAGGAGGGGGAGUACCAGGAGUUGUAGGAGUUGGGGGAGUAACCGGAGCUGGUGGAGUAACCGGAGUUGGGGGAGUAACCGGAGCUGGUGGAGUAACCGGAGUUGGGGGAGUAACCGGAGCUGGUGGAGUAACUGGAGUUGGGGGGGUUCUAGGAGUUGGGGGGUUUCUAGGAGUCGGGCGAGUUCCUCUGCGACGCCAAAAGAACCUGCUAUAGGUUUGUGAUGCAUCAAAGAUGGAGGCACAAUCAGCGCUACAUUGGAUGGCACAAAGAGAAACAUCAGCUACAUUAGGACUUGGUGGUGGUGUUGGCGGUUGUGGAAGAACAUCUGGUGGGGGUGAUGGAGGUUGUGGAAGGACAUCUGGAGGCGGAGGUAGGGUAGCCACAGCUGGAGGUGGAGAUGGUGGUACUAACGCCGUGGAAGGGUCAUGGCUGGGAACGGGAGGUGUAACUAAGCUCACUUGAGCUUGCAACACAACGGAAUGAAGGAGCACAAACAUAAGCACGGUAAAAAUCCUCAUGUUUUCUAGGCACUUUUGCUUGACUGCUUCUUUUUUCUGUAGAUGAUAAAAAAUGUACAGUAUGUGGCCUCUAUAUAUAGCCAUACAAGUGAUACAACGUACCCUUCAAGUUAUCAAUCCUGAGCUCAUGAUCGAUGAUCUCCUCUUAUCAAUCAAAUCAAUUACAAUUUGAUUUAUGUACUAGGAUCAUAAUUACACAUACAUUAUAAAUUUAUCUAUCAAUUACAUAUUAUCGAUCUAAUCUUACCUGACCGUCAAUUGUCAACAAUCAUGACCAAGUACGUAAUUAAACAAGAGGUUAACUAGAGAAAUAAUUAGCUGUAUCAAAUUAUCAAUCAUGAGCUCAUGAUCUUCUCUCAUCAAUCAAAUUAAUUACAAUUUGAAUUUGAUUAUGUGUUCGAUCCUAUGAUAUACACACAGUAAAUCAUAUCUCUCAAUCACAUCUUAUAUGAUCUUAUCUGGCCGUAUUCACACAAUUAACAAAGAUAAAUUUUUGAUUAUUGAUUGUUAAAGAACUUUGUUUGAUCACUUAAUAGUUUGAUAUCCUUAACGAAUCAAAAAUACGCUAAUCCAUGUACAUCACGACUCUAAGAAAAAUAGGAUUAGAAAAUCUCAGAGUUAUGAUGAAUAAGCCAUAUAAUUUAGGUUUUCCCAAUUCCAUCAUUUCUAUAUAUGGAUUUAUGUGGUUGCAAACUAUACUUUACCAUAAUUUAAUUAUUAGUUGAAUACAUACAUAAGAUGAACCAGCUGCAUGCCAACAACAAAACAUGUAUAUGACAUCUUGUUAAUGUAUACGUAUUUUCUCAUGUGAUUUAACGUAAAAUGUAAUGAGAUUGAUUAANNNNNNNNNNNNNNNNNNNNCACAAUCUUCAAAAAUCAAAAUGAUCGAAUUAGAACAUAUAUCAAUUGUUACCAUAUUGGUCUUGUUACCUUGCAAAAAGAAUCCACUUUCAAUUAGCUCUAUGAUUCUCAUUCAAUUUACAGCUUUCUGAAACCGUGUUUGAUUCUUCGGCUUAGAAAACACACAGCCUACGACUAGGAAAGACUUAUUUAUCAAAUCGCAGCCUACGACUAUAUCUGAAAGGCUUGUAAGAAACAUAGGAAUAUGAGGAUGUUCCUAGCACCCUUGAUUGAUGUAAAAAUAAAGGGGAGUGUAGACUUUAGGAGGAGUCUAACACACAUACACUAUCAUAGGUGUGUUGUGCUAUUUUUCCCUUCGACCAAGAUUUAUUUUAUCCCACUGGGUUUUGUUACUUGGCAAGGUUUUUAAUGAGGCAACACCACAUGCACCAUUUCGUCUUUGACUUGGCUCAAGGGGGAGUGUUGAAGGAAAAACACAUUUAUGUGUGUCUUCGUUAAAGUCGUAACCGGAGAGUAAAUUAUGUAAUUAGUGAUCAAUUAGUGUAAUUGCUCAAUCAGUUAUCAAUCAAAUUUUAUUGUCAUUAUAUACGUUAUAGUUACAUUUGUAAUAUCACCUCUAUAUAAAGAGGAGCUUCAAUCAAAUAAGUAGACCAAUUCCAUUUUUCCUGUAACAGGUUAUGUAUUAGUAUUUUCCCAUGUGAUUUUACAUAAAAUGCAAUGAGAUUGAUUUAUACAUUAUGCACAUACGAAAAAAAACAAAAAACAUGUGAGCCCACAUGUACCCUGCAAUCAAUAUGGUGGGAGCAGAAUCGCCGUGAGCCCAAAAUGCCAUGAUCGAUCAGCAAAUCCCUUGCAGCAUAUACCUACUCAAUCAGUGAACAUGUACACCACGCCCAGGACUUCAAUAUUUCUAUCUACAUACGUUGUUGUUCGCUCUUUUUUCUUAAAGAGCUCAACAAAAUCCCAGUAGCUAGAAUGAUCCAAAUCAUUGUUUAAAAGCAGCAUAACGAUAAGAAUCAAGCAUUACUAGAUUUUUAGAAUAUUACUUUACUAUAUACGCACAAAAGUUGAUACAUAUAUCAUUCCUAACCCUAAAAUUCUGCAGCAUUUCUGUAAUGCUGUCCAGUACGUACUUAAAUACUAAUUCUAGCUAGCUGGCUAUAUAUUAUUCCUCUUAAUUAAUUUAUUGGUCUGUAACAGUACUCGACUGAGGAGUAGUAAUGCUUAGUUUUGAUUUACAUCGAUAUUGAUCGAUCAGUUGUGUAUCGGAGGUUUUUUCCUGGCCGGAGAAUAAUCCAUUUCGGUCAGGUCUAUGAGGUUUGGAUAUUGUUGUCGGGUGGUUGCAACCUCCUCCUCAGCUUUCGGAUUCCCAAUUUGCUUGCCAACAAUAUUCUUCUCGUUCUGUACAUACAUAGAUCGAAGUAAUUAGUCCAUUGCUAGCUAGCUAAUUACAUACUGAUCCAAUUACUUUUUGAUUAAUAAGUAUUCGUUAUUGAUGAACAAUAACCAACCUUUGAAGUGGUGGUAGAAGAUCUCACAGUUAUUAGUUUUCUACUGCUUCCUGCAACAAUAGAAAUGAAGCCACUAAUUAGGUAUGGUCCUUUUUUAUCACUAUAAAGUUUAGUUGCACUAGCAUAAAUAUCAGUUAAUCAUAUACAUAAUGGCUUGUAAAGAUCUAGUAACUAGUACUAAUUAUAACAAGUCAGUAGUUAGACUAUAGUUCAGCUGGGACAAGGGCCUGGGACAACAUGUGUUCUGUAGCUAAAUUGAUUAAUACAUGGUAUUUAAGCUAGAGGGGUUCCGAUCUUCUGAAACCCAACUGAUCUGUCAUGAAGAACGACAUGCAUUAUAGCCGGACAAUCAAAAAAUGAAAAAGCGUCAAUCGAUCGAGAAGAAAGAAAUGGAUCUAUCUAUAUCUAAUCUACUCAUGAAGCUAAGAAGGAAUAUAUGAAUGUAAUUAACUAAUGGUGCUUGGAUCUGUGUCUCCUAGGUCCACAGUAAUCUUCAUGAAUGCUUGGUAACCAGUGGUGUGAGUGUGAUGAUGCGGAGGACUUCUCGGACGACGAUAUCGCUGAGGAAGAAGAAGAUCUAGAAACUUUAAAUUUCUUCAAGCUAGUAGUACCUGAUGAUGAGCAGUGAUCAUCAUGUCCACAAUCUUUUCUGAGUACACCAGAAGCUGCAGUGCUUUCACUUUUUUUGGUUAAAACAGUACUAUCCUCCUGAAACAUUCAAGAACAAUUAUAUCAGUUUUAGAUCCAAACAUAGAGGAAAAGAAAUGUAAGAAACCUCAAAAAGAAAAGACAAAAGGUACCCACAUGAAUAUUCUUGUUUUGUUGUUUAACUGAGAUAAAUCCUUUCUCCAAUCGGAUCCCUUCAAUACAAGAUAACCAGAAACUCACUUCAGAACCAAUUCCAAUUGCAAUGAUAUAUAUAUAUAUAUAUAUAUAUAUAUAUAUAUAUAUAUAUACAUCCAAAACAAGAUCCUGAUUCAUCUCAUACUUGAAAAAUGCAAUUAUAUAUAUAAAUGGUGCAUACCUUGAGCCUGCGGAAGGAGAAGGAACAGAAGAAGAAGAAGAGAGACUGCUAGAGGUGGUGUAGUACUCAUCUGGACUAAGGCUUAGUUAUGAUGAUAUUUCAAAAGAAAGAUUGAAGAUCAAAGCUGCAAUUGCUAGUAGAAUCAAAUAGAUCAAAUAUAGGAAUGAAUGGAUUGGAGGAAUUAGUAAAUGUUGUCAGGAACAAAGAUCUCUUUUCUCUGCAGGUUUCUCUCACUUUCUGUUCAACAAUUUAAGUUCAAGUAGAGGAAGUCUGUGAAUGAAGGAAUGGUACCUAGCUAGCUGCUUAUAUAGUUAAAUACAUAUAGAUAUGUAGGUCCAUAUUAACUUCUCCAACAUGAUCGAGCUUAAUUUAAUGGGAUCAAUUUAUCAUGGAGACCCAAAUCGACCAAAAAUAAAUUAUGAGGACCCGGCAUUGUCGAACAUUAUUAUGAAAAAGGCCAAUAAUAUAUAGGAAGCAUGGGAAAAGUGCAUUUUAUUUGCUUUUCAUUAGUCCCAUCUUUUUGGGGUAUAAUGAGGGUUUUCAUGAAUCCUGAUCGUUCUUCAAAUUCAAAUCUCGUUUUAUAUAAAUACAUAAUGAAAUGAACAGUUUACAGUCUAAUAGCUAGCUAGGCAUGCAUGCCUUUGGAUCUUUUCAGAUCGAGGUAUGAUGCAUCAAUCACAAUAUCACAUUUCAGGUUGUGUCUCAAUUUUCAUGCAACAAACUGGGUCUUUUCGGUUGUGGGAUUAGACUGUCUCAUUAUUUUGGUUAGUCAACGAAGCUACAUGAGGACUUGAGGUAGAAGCACAAGAACUAAUCAUGCAUAUAGAAACAGAAGGUAUGGAUACGACGCCUGCAUUUGAUAUUAUAUCCAUCUUGUGAAAAAUAACCUAUCAGUUACAUGGUAGGGCAUAACAGAGAGAGGGAUGGGACAUUUCAAGAAAGAAUACAAACAAGGCUCUCAUCAUUUCUAUGGGUAAAGGAAAGAAAUUUCACUCUAGGAAGUAAAAUACAUGGUAAACUUGUCCUUCUUUGAUAUCUAGGUCGUUUGUGAGGAUUUCAGUCGCGAAUCGUAUAUCAUAAAUCAAUAUCAUUGCAGCCAUUGCUUCAUUUUUACCAUGAUAACCUAGCUAGCUUUCGAAUUUCUGCCUCCAUAUUUCAACCCUUUCAAAACAAAAACAAAAAAACAGAGCGGGCAGCAGCCCACGCAUCAAGCAACAAGCGCAGUUAAUUUGACGGCGACAGGCAAACUCAGAGCCACCGUUUCUCAUCGCCAAACCACCGACGACCCGACGUGGCAGCAUGUUUCAUGCCUCGGCUACCGGCCCCCGCCCAACCUAGUGGUGGCCAGUCGGCCCACUCCACGUGGACGUCCACAUCCCGGUCACCGCCGUAUCACGAGCCAUGUCUGUUAUUUCGCCGUCACCCAAGCAUCCCCGAUGGGGACCUUGUCGAAACCAAACCUUUCGUCGCCGAUUCUUCUUUUCCGUGGCGAAAUGGUUCUAGGGUUUAGAAACCUUUCGUUGCUUUUGAUUUCUGUGUCGGAUAUGGUUUUAAACACGUUGUUCAUCUCGUAUUCAAAGGAAAAGACAAACAGAAAAAUCAACAUCUUUUGAACAAAGCGAAAUAGUUUUCUUGAAUGAUUAAUCACUCAUCAGUGAAGCUAAAAGCCGAUCUGGACCUCACUAACUUUAGAGAACCUGUUACGGAGCUUGCUAAGUUCUGUUUGUGCUUUCUGUCAUAGAAAAAUGCUCAAGCUGCUAUCAAAUGACCUAACCAGCUAUAUAAAGGUACGCUAAUUAUAAACUAAUCACUCUUAAAGUAUCCUGUAGACUCCUGCUGCCUUUUGUAAAUCCUUUUCAAUUAUCCUCAUUUUGUACGUGCAUCUAAAUUAACUAGUUAAUUAUCAUCGAAUAUGCAGAAAAGAAUGAAUUGAUAUUCUUGUUUAGUCCCUCUCAGGAGUUUCAGGAUCAGAAUAUACAACUAAUCAAAGUGUAGUGACUGUUAUUUGUUGAAUACAAAUGAUUGUUGAAACGAAUUAUAAGAUUUAAAGAGUCAUGGGAUGAAUAUUAGUUAAUGUGUAAGUUACUUUUAAACUAAUCAAGUUGGAUUUGAUUACAUGCAGGUGGUUAUUUACAUAUAGAUUGAGCCGACAGCGAGACAUUACAUGUUUUUAGGGUUGAGCUAAUGUUCGAAAUAGGACCACCAUUGUCAACCGAUUUCAAAGCUGAACAUUUCGUUGAUCUAGAGACAUGUUUUGUGGUGGCGUGUCUGGUUACAAUACUCGUUUACAACCAGAUAAUCCAAUACGAUGAUUUCAUAUAUAUAUAUAUGUUCGAUUAAGACAUAGAUAGUUUAAGAUUUACGUACACCAUAUGUGUGUGUAUAUAUAUAUGUAUAUAUAACAUUUCUUGGAUUUCAGAUAAAGAUUGAGUUUCACACAUAAUGAAAUAAAAGCUACGUACUCGAUAUCUCUACGUGCUCGAUGCAUCAUACCAUUGUAGCACAAAAAAAAAAAGAUAUCUCUACGUGUUAUAAAUCUUGCUCGAUCUCCUGGCCUUUUAUUCCUGAACUUCUCAAACCUCGACUAAUAGUGUUGUCAUUCAUAUGUCGAAGAAAAGGAUCAAAUUUCAUGUGAUCAUCGUUUACCAUACCAAAGAAUUCCUCUCCAUAAGACUAGGUCCUGGAAGCUGGAACAUGCAAGAAAAAAUUGACCAAAAAAAGAAGAAGAAGAAUAUGCACGAAACAUUAGAGCUUGGAAGCGUACAUAGAUUGGGAAUUUGAUCGAGAAUCCUACCACCUUGUUCGAUCACACAUGCAGACAGAAACAAAAACACAGUGCAUGCGGAGGCUUUGAAAUUUAUGUAAACUUGUCCUCCACUACAGGCUACUACUCUUUGCAUUAUUGUUAUAAGGAAGAAAUAUCGUGCUCUCUGUUUGCCUCUUUUUGGUUAUAACUUUUCGGUCUUCGGUCUUCUCAUACUAGAAUUCACGAACUUAAUUACCUAACAUGUUUUGUGCUAGAUUGGCACAUGGGUGCGACCCCAUGCAUGCCAUUUGCCAUGAAGCUCAAGAUCAAGAUCGAAGAAAUUGAAUAGAGUCGAAGAAGAAUACAAGAAGGGAGUACGUUAUACUUCAAUUUAAAAACCAUGGAGCUCGAGAUAGCUGGUGCACAUAGUCAUUUGUCAUACGGUACUUGUUUCUCCAAGUAUAGCCAACAAGGUCUUUAUUUUCGAUUAUAAGGUAUAGUCAACAAGUUUGUGACAUGUGUCGGGCCACACCCGCAACACAAACUCGAAAGUUCAUUGAUUGAUUUGACAAUACUUGGUUUCUUGUCAUCGGAUGGCCUUCGCCCUAACAAAUUGUACUUCAUAUAUUGAUCCAGCUAAUUUACAAGCUAUGUACGUAGUUGGAUAAGUUGUCAUUCAUGUUCGAUUGAGUUCUUAUGAAACUUGAGAAUUAUCAUGACAUCUUUAAUUUAAUAUUACAUCAGUAAGUAAUUAGUUAUUCAUCAAUGGUUGUUACGUCUACUGUACCAAAGGAAACCGAACUAGACAAAUACGUUGAUCUCUUAAUGAGUUCCUAAAAAAAACAUUACAAUUUCUUCAUUCAAGAAACAAUAAUUUACCUUAGAAUGAGCUUUUUCUUUUGUAAUUUGAGGAUACAAUUGAGAUAUAUAAAACUAGGUGUAAUGAAAGCUAUUUUAACGAAAGGUUAAAAGCAUAAAAUCUACAACCACCUUACAGUCUUGAGAGGCUAGCUCGAUCGUCAUUUUACCGUUAAAAUCCAGCGCCACCUAAAUCGCUAAGCCACCCCCCAAAUGCAGCACCCAUUUCCCUCCACUCUAAUUUUGAUUCUUGACAUUUCUGGCUCUCGAUCGUUUAACACUAAUCUUUAUUAAUAUAUCUCUGCUUCAAUGAAAACCUAUUGUUAUUUCAAUUCUUUCAGUCUGUAAUUAUGCGUGGAACUUGUUCCAAUGUCGAUGAUUCCCUUCAAGAACAACCCUCUGAGCAGCCAAUAUUGUAAGUGAAUCAUAUCAGAAUUGUAAAUGCAUGUAACCAAUCAAUAACCAAAUACCCUUUUAGUAGUUCAUCGAGUUCUUAUACUGCGCGCAUGUACUCAGAAUAUGCGAGUGUUCCAAUGAGGGAAAUUGCGGAUGUAGUAAUAAAAGGAUGAUUUCUGCUGGAGAUGUUGGAUUACUUGCUACUUUCGAAUCCGAGAGGGGCAAUGGCCACCUUUUAUCUCUUCUUGUGAGUUUUAUUUAUUUAUUCCAAAGCAUAAACAUUUAACCUAUAUAUACAUGUACUGUCAUAUUGUUCAAUACUUGGUAGAAGUUGGUUGUGACUUGUGAGCCAAUUUGUGGAAGCAAGGGGCCUUAAACGUUCAUAGAUUUUCAAUUCCAUGGCUUUGAAUUCAUGCUUGGCCGUUGGCACAGUGUUUUCUCGGGUUCCAUAACCAGUAUUAUAAAGUUGUAAUACAUGGUGAAUCUUCUGCAGGCAUCUUCAUCUUCAUCCUCAUCCCAAAUAUCACAUUCACAUCAACCUUCAAAACCUACAAGCAGCCAGGUUUCAAACAAGUCAGAAUGUACAUCAUCAAUGGUCGACAAUCAUAACUCGUCGCGAAGACUAAUAGUCCGAAGGAACUCGAACCCUAAUCCAGAAGCUACAAUACGAGGCCUAACAAGUUGCAUGAACACACCGAACCUCGUUAACUCUGGAAAUUGCACCACACUUCUUUUCGGAUCCACUCCUCUUUGCCAAUUCUCUCUUUCUCAAGGUCUUUUUGGGGCGCCUUCGAAUCUUUUCCAGGCUGUAAUGCCUGCCAUUCAGCUUCCCCACGCAAGUGGAGAUUCAACAUCUCAAAUAGAAGAAGCUCCUGCUACUUUUGAUGAUAGUGGAUUCUCUAGUGAGAACCAACUAAUUGAUAUAUGGAGGCAACUCCUCAUGGAAUCGACUCUAUAUAUACACAGGCCGGUUGAUAACUCGUUAGAAGGUUCAAGUAGUUCCGUUUUUAGGGUAACUGCUGACACUGGAUCUGUGGACUUCAGACUUUUAACAGAGGUUUGCCCUAAUUCCUUUCACUACAAAUGUGCAGCAUGUUUAAAUUGAUCUGCAUAUUCGAUUACAUAUUCGUAUAGUCUAAUUCUGCACCUUGAUUGAUUACCUCGUGAAAAUUGCGCAGAACGCUGAAGUUGUUAACCAAUCACUGCUGUACUUUUCAAUCGAAAUGCGCAAUCGCUUUGGAGGCAUGAGGCUUGAUGUGGAUAACAUGUCAUAUGAGGUAGUAUUACAUGAAAGAUUUAGUGAUGAAUAAUGCUUUACCUGUAUGUAACAACAAUGCUUUGUUUCCACUUUUACAGGAGCUAUUGGCUUUAGAAGAUCGUAUAGGGUAUGUCAGCACAGGAUUAUCGGAGGAAGCAGUCGUUGCAUCUCUCAAACUCAGUAAAUAUUUUCUGCUUGCUGAUGAAAAUGCUGAGAAAGAGUUUUGCAGCAUCUGCCAGGUACCUCGUUCAUAAUUUCAUCUUCGUUGGAUUUUAUAUAGUUUCUGUGGCCAAGUAAUGUACAAUGGGAUCGAUGACAGUUACCAUUUUGGUUUUCAUAACAGGAGGAUUUUAUAGAGGAAGAUGAGCUAGGAACAUUGGAUUGCGGACACGGCUUCCACAUUUGUUGCAUCAAACAAUGGCUAGGAUAUAAAAACGUGUGCCCUAUAUGCAAAUCUCCUGCCUUAUCUACUACAUUUUCACAUAUUUAAAUUUUGUGAGGUGUCUUAUGUACAGUACGUAGUUGAGUUUUUUCUGAUAACUAUAUGGUGAGGACUGAGGACUCCAAUGAUUGUUGUGUUUGUCCGGCAUUCUUCACCAGGCUACAUUAGUUUUCCUUUACAAAAUGUACAUAUGUAACAUUUGUUUCUACAUGUACAGAUCAUAUGUGAUGAAAAAUCAUGAUAUCUAUAUCUACAUGCAUAUAUAUAUGUUUAAAUACACAUCCUUAUUUUCUUUUUAACAUGAUAAUUUCCAAAAAGCUCAGGAAUUCGAAUCGAAUAAGAUAAUCUAGUAAUACAACUACUAUUGCAAAACUGAAUCAACCAAGCUUUACGCUUUAGGGUUUAGAAUGCUGGUCUACUGACAGAGAUUUAUUGGCCUUGCAAUCCACGAAUUACGAUGUCGGCAAAGGUAAAGUUACUGCAGGCUCAGAUAUUUUGUCCAUGUCUAUUAAGCACGGUUGCCUUCUACAUUUCGUUUUCCACAACUUGUUUUGCUUUGAGUUGUUACGAGGAGAUGGACUUUGCUUCUUGAUAGAUACUUUUAGGGAAGAAGUUCUGAGGCUCCCAACAUGUGACAUGUGGGGGAACUAAACAAGGAUGAGUUUGGGGUUUGGCCUCAUUGUGGUAUGGGAUUUGACAAGAUAACCAGCACAUACAAGAUGGUUCGUCUUUACCAAAUUACAGAAAAGGGGAGAGGUCGCGGCUGGUAGCACUGGUUCAUGUACUAGGCACAAGCUCAUGGUAUGAGAUACCCGCACCAGCCUUUGCUCCUAAUUGUUUGGAGGAUUGUUUUUGCAGGGAAGGUAUAUGUGCAUAUGGAGACAUGCAUUGGAUGUUUUGCGAAAUUAUUACCAAACCCUACCUGAAUCAUAUAAUUUCUUUUGACUUCACGAAAGAAGAGUUCUAUUCGACACGUACACCUCACCCGGCUGCACUCUCAACAGAGAUGUCUGUGCAAUACAUUACAUUGAAAGGAUCUAUGGCCAUCCUGAAAAUCUCCGAGACUACAACUAUUGACAUCUGGGUAAUGAAAGAUUACAAUACGAAAGAGUGGACACUAGAGUACAACAUAGAUCUCCAAACUCUCGGACAAGAUCUUCUACUUAUGUUAUGUAGUGCUCGCUGUGAUGAAUGGGAGAAUGGCAUAGUUUUUAUAUCAGAAGAGUCAGAUACAUCAUUGUUUUUUGAUUCGAGAGACGUUCCGAUGAACCAUGUAACAUGUCAAAUCGAAGGAAACGAGAGCUGUGAGAAAAUCUUGUGUUUUAAAAGGAGCUUGAUUUGGGAAUUUGGUUGAAGGACCUAAGCCAGGUAGUCAUAGCCUGCUUGAUUUCUCUAGAAAAUACUUAUGGGAGUAACCUGAAAGAAGGAGAUCUUAGCAAGUGGCGGGAUGAUUUGAUAUCAUGGUUAGGAGAACUGUAUUGCCAAGCUCAUAAUAUAUAGAUCGAGUUCUCGCACUUGAUAACUUUGAGUUUGAGCUUAUUUGAUGAAACUGAAAUCAUUUUUUUUUUUUUCCGGCAUGUGAAGGUACAAGGGUAGUUGGCAUACUUGGCAAUCCUUCUAUUUCACAAAACACCUGAAGUUACUAUCAUUUGCCAAGAACAAGUUUUGAAGUCAUUAACUCUCUCAUGGUCUCAGGUAAAUCAUGCAUAUGCAUAGCAUAUGUUUUUCACAGACGUGCUAUCCUAGUUCUGAGUCUUUUGUUAUCUUUGAAUUCAAAGAUUUUGUUAUUAUAUUUUAAUAGAUCUUUGCUGUUUUCAAACUGAUAAUUGGCAACUGAGUUUUGUAAGUGUCUUGGUGCUCAAACCAGUCUAGGGUUGAGAUCUUUUGUUGUGCCAACUCGUGACCAAAUGGUUUGAUGCUCAAGGCUCCAGCUAAGGUUUUAUCAUACAUAAUACAAUGAUAGCUGGUAUGUGCUUGAUUCAAUGACCAGUCACUAUUGGCUGAGUCAUGGUCCUAUAAUGGACUGAGUAUAAGGUUCUAUUACCUUAUUGCUCAUUGAUUUGAAUUAAGCCUUGUUUUGGAAAGAUAGGUUUUGUCUCAUUGAGUUGCUUAUGACAACUCCAUUGGGGUUGCGUCACUUUCAGCUGCAGGAACCAAACAUUUUAGUCCAAAACCUCUUUCAAAACAGUUUGGUAAGUGUGUCUGCAUCUCUUGAGAUGUCUCACUUGCAUAUAUAUUCUUUUAGCUUAAGCUUUGCUCUUCAGUGGUUAAAAACUGUCAUAUUGCGUUUUUUUUGUUGAGUCUAGUUUUAGCUUGUAUUGUUCAUGCUGCUCUAAGUCUUCCUUGUGAUUAUAAACCUUAGAGCUUGAACGAAAACUUCUUUCAUAAACUCAUAUCAUUGUUGCAUACCAUGAGGGAUAUGUAGUGCAACCAACCCGAGAAGUGUUCAAGGUUGAAUCACAGGGCAAACCCUAGCUUCCGAUCAGGUAGGCAAUCUUUCUCAUCUCUCACCUUUUUGUCCGAUCAAGUAGGCGAUCUCUCUCAUCUCUCUCCUCUUUCGAUUUUCAGAGUUCGUCGUAGCUUUUCACAUUUCAGACUUUCCGGCCACCUUACCUAUAUUUUUUUUCUGAAAUUUCAGGGAUGGACAAGUACACUGGUCAUCAACUUGUUUCUGAGUCGAGCAUUGACCAAAUCCACACCACAUUCGAGAAAUCCACAGGGUGUCGUGUCUAGAUUCACGUGUUUAACGACUUGGGACUUGAAAAAGGUAACAAGGAGGAGCAAAUUCUGAGUGUGCUUACCGGUACCAACUAUAUCAUCGAGCUACUUGAGGAGAUCGAGGAGAAGAGUCGCACCCGGCCCGUUAUCGUGUGGCUAGCUCUUCGGUGCUGAUUCUCGUUAAAGAGGUGCUCUCGGAGAACCUCACCGCCUACCGAGCAAGCCUUGGUGGUCGUUUGGCUCAUCAAAGACGAAUUCUAAUCUGUGACCUUCGUCCGGCGAAUAUCAAGGUCUCAUCGGAGGCGGAAAUGUUUCGUGUGAAGAUAUGAGAUUUUGCUGAGGCUAAAUACGUUCCGGUCAUGUCGAUACAAUAAUAAACCAUGAAUGAGGUACUUUGAAGUUAAUUGGCAGACCUAAAAGAUCUCAAUUUGAUUUGUUUUUCUUAAAGAGUUGUUUUUUAAAAAAAAAUAGUUCAAAAACUCGCAUGUCGAGUAUUUUGAGAUAUUCUUUUUAUAGUCUCCCUAAUAACCAGUAAUAAACCAUGGAUGAAUUUUGUUAUGAAGUUGGCAGACCUAAAAUAUCUCUAUUUUGCCUUUCAACCAUAUGUUUUAGUCCAUGUCUUUCAAGUUUUUUUAUGAACAUUUCUUUCGCAAUUAUAGUGAUCUUAUUACAUCCAACUUUCAAUAUAUAAUUGAAACUAAGACAAAUUUCUACGCUAACUUUUCUAAUGUUGUGAUGUAUAAGAUUUGUAGCCGAGACACAUAUGAACCAGGAGUCAUCAAGAAGUCACCUUCAGCUCACAGUGCGCAUAUGUGGUAUCAGUGAGGUUUGUUUUUAACUGUAGUGAAGAUCAAGUUUCUCUGUUUUCAUGUAUGCUCUUGUUUAGUUGUUUGCCUUAUGGUUGUGAUGUUAUACUUUUCAAACCUUGUUAAUCUUACAGGAAGUGAGUGAUCAGAUGAAAUUGGAGACCGUAUGGAAGAAAGUAGGCUUUGUAUCUACAUAACUUGGUUAUUAUUUUUCUAAUGUGUUGAGACUGUGAUCUCACUAUUUUUCUAGUAAUAACCAUGCUAUAUAUCAAAAAUAAUGGGUCACCUUUGAUAGGUAAUCUGAAUAUCUUGAAGACAUCUUCAAUUGUGAUGGACCUCUCCUUUUAGCCGAACACAAAGGCUUCACAUCCUAAUGUCGGAAAAGAAGCAUAAUAUCCAAUUUUGAUUUGCCAAUGGGCUUCUCUUCAUAAAACGACCUAAUCAUCGACCAGAAGACCGUAGUCUUCAACAACGCCCAAGCCUCUGUUGGAAUCAGUUCUUCAUAAAAAAAAUAGUUUAAAAACUCGCAUGUUAAUUUUAAUAAUAUUUCAAAAACUCGCACGUCGAGUUUUUUGUUAUCGUCUCACUAAUAACCAGUAAUAAACAAUAGAUGAAAGUGGCUAUGAAGUUGGCAUACCUAAAAGAUCUCAAUCUGAUUUGUUUUUCUUAAAAUGUUGUCUAUUUUAAUAAAUAGUUCAAAAACUCGCAUGUCGAGUGUUUUGAGGCAUUCUUUUUAUCGUCUCCCUAAUAACCAGUAAUAAACCAUGGAUGAAUUUGGUUAUGAAGUUGACAGACCUAAAAGAUCUCUAUAUGAUUUGUUUUUCUUAAAGACUUGUCGAUUUUCAAAAUAGUUUAAAAACUUGCACGUCGAUUUUAAUAAUAGUUCAAAAACUCGCACGUCGAGUUUUUUGUUAUCGUCUCACUAAUAACUAGUAAUAAACAAUGGAUGAAAGUGGCUAUGAAGUUGACAGACCUAAAAGAUCUCAAUCUGAUUUGUUUUUCUUAAAGACUUGUCGAUUUUCAAAAUAGUUCAAAAACUCGCAUGUCGAUUUUAAUAAUAGUUCAAAAACUCGAAUGUUAAAGUUUUUGUUAUCAUCUCACUAAUAUCCAGUAAUAAAUCAUGGAUGAAAGUGGCUAUGAAGUUGAUAGACUUUAAAGAUCUUAAUCUGAUUUGUUUUUCUUAAAGACUUGUCGAUUUUCAAAAUAGUUCAAAAACUCGCACGUCGAUUUUAAUAAUAGUUCAAAAACUCGAAUGUCAAAGUUUUUUUAUCGUCUCACUAAUAUCUAGUAAUAAAUCAUGGAUGAAAAUGGCUAUGAAGUUGACAGACCUUAAAGAUCUCAAUCUGAUUUGUUUUUCUUAAAGACUUGUUGAUUUAAAAAAUAGUUCAAAAACUCGCAUGUCGAUUUUAAUAAUAGUUCAAAAAGAGGUUUUUUUUAUCGUCUCACUAAUAACCAGUAACAUGCCAAACUUAACAAAAGCUCGCGGGUCGAAAUUUUUGGGGAUUAAACCCUAAAGGAUUGUUUAAAAAUCAUGUUUUACUAACUCUAAAAGACACCGCCACACCUCUUUAACCCUCUUUAACCUGCCACACAACCAAACCAUAACCCUAGCUUUCAGAAAUGAAGUGAUACACUGAUGUCAGUCUUGCGUCAAAAACCCACAUCAUUCGUGUGAGACAUGACAUUGAAGUCAAUAUAAAAGUGCAACUAUGCUCUUACCGGCAGUUCCCCCCACACAUGAGGCCCUUUUGUUUUAAUUUUAUCCAAUCUCCUGUUAAAUGCAUCUGAAACCGACUUGAAUUCUGCUGUCAUACAGUUUUGAGAUUGUGCGUCAAAACCUGCACAUCACUUCUGAUACCGUCCCUCAACGCCCCCUUCAUCUCGUCUUGAAAGCCCCCAUACAGCUCUUCAUCUCGUCCUUGAACCCCCCCAUAUCACUUUUGAUCUCGUCCUUAAACGCCCACACAUCAAUCUUCACCACCCCCACAUCAGCUUUCGUCUCCAGGGCUAGCAGAGCAUUCAGAGACGACAGAUGAUUCAUUAAUUCGGCUUCCAAACUGAGGAUUCUUGUUGUGUAACCUGAACCGUAGAGUAGCUUCACCCAUAACGCGCUCUUCUUAAUUUCCUAUCUGAGUUGUUUCCCUUGCACAGGGUUAUUUUCUAAUCGAGCUAUCAAAUCUGGAGAAACUUGAGUACCAGCACCGUUCAGCUUGCCCACCACCUCUGUCACAAGCUUCCCUGCCACUUCCAGCCGCUCAAUUCCAUUCUUCAACUUCUCACAUUUGCCACACUAAGUCUUGCAAAUCUCCAGAGCUUUGGUUAAGUCCAUCAGCAUGUUGAAAGCGGAUGCGGUGCUCUCGUAGGUCGCCACCAUUUCGGGAUGAGAUGAGUGAAGCGGAAGCUCAAUGCCGAUGCUGAAGCGAUGCCGAUCCCGAAGCGAUGUUGAUGCCGAAGGAAAAAGGAAGCGAUGGUUUUUAUAGUCUAGGGUUUCUGGCUUUUGGGCAUUUGGUUGGCUUAUGCCCAAAACCAUGAGUGUAAGUCUUAAUUCAAAGAGAAAUUCGUUUGAAUGGUAUACGAACUUUUGCUCCUUAUAAACUUUGGUAUAUCAAGUUUGAAAAAUAUCAGAUUGGUGUUUAAUGUUUCCAUUUCGACCUAAGAUUAGUAUAUACAGCCAUUCAGAUUAUUAAUUUACUCUCAGACCAAAAAAAACAAACCAAUUUACCCUUAAAUUAUCUUUUUUUUCUUAGUUUUUCUUCUUUGUUUUCAUAUUCCAAUUUUUUAAAAAUUUUUUUAAAUAUUUUUAGGAACGUAGAGAAAAAAGUCAUCGUCACUUUCUAAUAAUCAGUUCUUUAUCUCAAUCAUCCUUGAAUUGAAUGUCAAUGACAACAACAAGAACUUCGAGUGUCAACGGAAACAACAAGGAUUAAACUUCUGUAUGUUUCCCCUCUUCAAUUUUCUUCAAGUUUAUAAAGGUUAACCUAAAUCAUCAAAUUCCAAAAUCUCUUCUAAUAUUUCUUGAAUAUGAAAACAAAUUAAAAAAAACUAAGAAAAAAAAAACUUAAAGGGUAAAUUGGUCAUCUUAAUGGCUCUA